CCCUCCACAAACGGCACCAAGGUGUUAAGUGGGUGGCUGAGCCCUGCCCAUCCUCUUCCAGGGCCUGGAGGAAGAGGACUGGAAAUGACGACUUCUACAAGGCCUUCCCAACUGAGAAACCUGGGUCCGUGAGCUGCAACACAUAUCUGGUCCCCAGCUGGAGCCCCCAGCCCCACUCCCUAAUUCCGGAGGAGCAGGCAGCGUGCCCGCAUGCCCAACUGAUUCUCCCAGCACACACAGGUAAUUCAUCUCAGCUUCCUUUCCAGGCCCCCACCCCAGAUGUGCAGCCGUCCCAGCAGCCAGAGGCCAGCUCACCCCACCCAGAUCGCCGGCCAGCUGCAGGCCCCUGCUUCCCAGGGAAGAGAACUAAUAAAGGACAGUCUUGGA